rnacentral:rRNA from 1 species
GGUUCGAUCAUGGCUCAGAUUGAACGCUGGCGGGAUGCUUUACACAUGCAAGUCGAACGGCAGCACGGACUUCGGUCUGGUGGCGAGUGGCGAACGGGUGAGUAAUGUAUCGGAACGUGCCUAGUAGCGGGGGAUAACUGCGCGGCCGUAGCUAUUAUACCUGCGCCCGCUGAGAAAGCGGGGGACCUUCGGGCCUCGCACUAUUAGAGCGGCCGAUAUCGGAUUAGCUAGUUGGUGGGGUAACGGCUCACCAAGGCGACGAUCCGUAGCUGGUUUGAAGGACGACCAACCACACUGGGACUGAGACCUGGCCCAGACUCCUACGGGAGGCAGCAGUGGGGAAUUUUGGACAAUGGGGAAACCUGAUCCAGCCAUCCGCGUGUGCGAUGAAGGCCUUCGGGUUGUAAGCACUUUUGGCAGGAAAGAAACGGCACGGGAUAAUACCCCGUGCAACUGACGGUACCUGCAGAAUAAGCACCGGCUAACUACGUGCCAGCAGCCGCGGUAAUACGUAGGGUGCAAGCGUUAAUCGGAAUUACUAUGGGCGUAAAGCGUGCGCAGGCGGUUCGGAAAGAAGAUCAUGAAAUCCCAGAGCUUAACUUUAGAUGCAUUUUAACUACCGGCUAAAGUGCCGUGUCAGAAGGUGAGAAUUCCAUAAAUACAACGGUAAAUAAAUGGAAUCUGCGGAGGAACACCGAUGGCGAAGGCAGCCUCCUGGGAUAACACUGACGCUCAUGCACGAAAGCGUGGGAGCAAACAGGAUUAGAUACCCUGGUAGUCCACGCCCUAAACGAUGUCCCAACUAGCUGUUGGGGCCUUCGGGCCUUGGUGGCACACCAGCUAACAUGUAAGUCGAAGUUGACCGCCUGGGGAGUACAGUCGCAAGAUUAAAACUCAAGGAAUUGACGGGGACCCGCACAAGCGGUGGAUGAUGUGGAUUAAUUCAGGUACCAGCGCGAAAAACCUUACCUACCCUUGACAUGUCUGGAAUCCCGAAGAGAUUGGGAGUGCUCGCAAGAGAACCGGAACACGAGUGCACCACAUACGCUGUCGUCAAGCUCGUGUCGUGAAAUCAUUGGGUUGAUCCCGCAACGAGCGCAACCCUUGUCAUUAGUUGCUACGAAAGGGCACUCUAAUGAGACUGCCGGUGACAAACCGGAGGAAGGUGGGGAUGACGUCAAGUCCUCAUGGCCCUUAUGGGUAGGGCUUCACACGUCAUCUAAUGCGUGGUCAGGACAGAAGGUGUAACCCGCAGAAGGCAAUCGAAACCCAGUCGUAGUCCGGAUGUAGCAGUCUGCAAACUCGACUGGCCGGGGAGUCAGAAUCGCUGUGAAAUGCGGAUCAGCAUGUCGCGGUAGAGCUCCCAUGUCCCAGGUCUUGUACACACCGCCCGUCACACCAUGGGAGUGGGUUUUGCAAGUAGUUAGCCUAACCGUAAGGAGGGCGAUUACCACGAGUAGGAUUCAUGACUGGGGGUGAAGUCGUAACAAGGUAG